GAUGAACGCUGGCGGCGUGCCUAAUACAUGCAAGUCGAGCGAACAGACGAGGAGCUUGCUCCUCUGACGUUAGCGGCGGACGGGUGAGUAACACGUGGAUAACCUACCUAUAAGACUGGGAUAACUUCGGGAAACCGUAGCUAAUACCGGAUAAUAUAUUGAACCGCAUGGUUCAAUAGUGAAAGACGGUUUUGCUGUCACUUAUAGAUGGAUCCGCGCUGCAUUAGCUAGUUGGUAAGGUAACGGCUUACCAAGGCAACGAUGCUUAGCCGACCUGAGAGGGUGAUCGGCCAGACUGGAACUGAGAAACGGCCCAGACUCCUACGGGAGGCAGCAGUAGGGAAUCCUACGCAAUGGGCGAAAGCCUGACGGAGCAACGCCGCGUGAGUGAUGAAGGUCUUCGGAUCGUAAAACUCUGUUAUUAGGGAAGAACAAAUGUGUAAGUAACUGUGCACAUCUUGACGGUACCUAAUCAGAAAGCCACGGCUAACUACGUG
rnacentral:rRNA from 1 species